GAUGAACGCUAGCGACAGGCUUAACACAUGCAAGUCGAGGGGCAGCGAUAGGUGGCAACACCGAGUCGGCGACCGGCGCACGGGUGAGUAACGCGUAUGCAACCUGCCCAUCAGCGGGGGAUAACCCGUCGAAGACGGACUAAUACGCAUAAACAGGGUUCGCAUGGAAUAUUGUUAAGAUUAUUGCUGAUGGAUAGGCAUGCGUUCUAUUAGGCAGUUGGCGGGGUAACGGGCCCGACCAAACCGACGAUAGAUAGGGGUUCUGAGAGGAAGGUCCCCCACCAUUGGUACUGAGACACGGACCAAACUCCUACGGGAGGCAGCAGUGAGGAAUAUUGGUCAAUGGGCGCGAGCCUGAACCAGCCAAGUCGCGUGAAGGGAUGAAGGUUCUAUGGGAUUGUAAACUUCUUUUAUGGGGGAAUAAA
rnacentral:rRNA from 1 species